GCAUCAUUGGUUUAAUGGUAUAAUAGCCGGUUGCCAUCUGGCUGAUCCGGGUUCGAUUCCCGGAUGAUGCA
rfam:Ordospora colligata OC4 contig_06, whole genome shotgun sequence.